AACUUUGUGCAAUGGCAGUAUCAUAGCCAGUGGGAUUUAUCCAAAGCACAAUUAUUGCUAGUUGAAAAGAUCAUUGUAUUUCUAUAUACUAGCAAUGAACAAAUGUGUUUUUUUAAACUCUUCUUAAACA
rfam:Chlorocebus sabaeus isolate 1994-021 chromosome 21, whole genome shotgun sequence.